rnacentral:rRNA from 1 species
GCCUACGGGAGGCUGCAGUGAGGAAUCUUCCACAAUGGGCGAAAGCCUGAUGGAGCAACGCCGCGUGAAGGAUGAAGGCCCUCGGGUUGUAAACUUCUUUUAUAAGUGAAGAAUAUGACGGUAACUUAUGAAUAAGCACCGGCUAACUACGUGCCAGCAGCCGCGGUCAUACGUAGGGUGCAAGCAUUAUCCGGAGUGACUGGGCGUAAAGAGUUGCGUAGGUGGUUUGUUAAGUGAGUAGUGAAAGCUAGCGGCUCAACCGUAUAGACUAUUAUUCAAACUGGCAAACUCGAGAAUGGUAGAGGUAACUGGAAUUUCUUGUGUAGGAGUGAAAUCCGUAGAUAUAAGAAGGAACACCAAUGGCGUAGGCAGGUUACUGGACCAUUUCUGACACUGAGGCACGAAAGCGUGGGGAGCGAACGGGAUUAGAUACCCCAGUAGUCC